UAUUCCCCUAUAUCUGCGGCGC
rnacentral:siRNA from 1 species